AGAGUUUGAUCCUGGCUCAGAGCGAACGCUGGCGGCAGGCUUAACACAUGCAAGUCGAACGGGCCCUUCGGGGUCAGUGGCAGACGGGUGAGUAACACGUGGGAACGUGCCCUUCGGUUCGGAACAACUCAGGGAAACUUGAGCUAAUACCGGAUACGCCCUUCGGGGGAAAGAUUUAUCGCUGAAGGAUCGGCCCGCGUCUGAUUAGCUAGUUGGUGAGGUAAUGGCUCACCAAGGCGACGAUCAGUAGCUGGUCUGAGAGGAUGAUCAGCCACACUGGGACUGAGACACGGCCCAGACUCCUACGGGAGGCAGCAGUGGGGAAUAUUGGACAAUGGGCGCAAGCCUGAUCCAGCCAUGCCGCGUGAGUGAUGAAGGCCUUAGGGUUGUAAAGCUCUUUCGUCCGGGACGAUAAUGACGGUACCGGAAGAAGAAGCCCCGGCUAACUUCGUGCCAGCAGCCGCGGUAAUACGAAGGGGGCUAGCGUUGUUCGGAAUCACUGGGCGUAAAGGGCGCGUAGGCGGCCUGAUAAGUCGGGGGUGAAAGCCUGUGGCUCAACCACAGAAUUGCCUUCGAUACUGUUGGGCUUGAGACCGGAAGAGGUAAGUGGAACUGCGAGUGUAGAGGUGAAAUUCGUAGAUAUUCGCAAGAACACCAGUGGCGAAGGCGGCUUACUGGUCCGGUUCUGACGCUGAGGCGCGAAAGCGUGGGGAGCAAACAGGAUUAGAUACCCUAGUAGUCC
rnacentral:rRNA from 1 species